AUGGCACAACCAAGUCCUUUGUAGCAAAUCAUUUAUCCGAGUCUCUAGCAGGAGCCAUGAUUAUAAGAGCUUUUGAGGAGGAAGACCGAUUCUUUGCAAAGAAUCUUGAACUGAUUGACAGAAAUGCUAGUCAUUUAUUCCAUAGUUUUGCAGCAAAUGAGUGAUUGAUCCAAAGAUUAGAAACACUUAGUGUAGUUGUUCUUGCCUCUUUAGCACUCUGCAUGGUUUUGCUUCCUCCAGGAAUUUUUAGCUCUGGUUUCUCAUGGUGCUAUUCAGUUUACUGCGUAUGAGGAACUUCAUAAGGUUAUUAUUGACUUCAAGUCUAAAUACAGAAAAAAGGAUUUUGAAAGUGAUGAUAAACUCUUGAAUUCAGUGGAUUAUGCUGUUCUGGGUGCAUCCUCAAAAAUUGCUGCUGUUCUUCUGACAUAUCCAUUCCAAGUUGUAAGAGCUCAAUUGCAGCAAAGACCUAGUAGUGAUGGAAUUCCAAGAUACAUGGAUAGCUAGCAUGUUGUGAAGGAAACUGCACGGUUAGCGGGUGUUCGAGGUUUUUACAAGGGCAUUACACCAAACCUCCUGAAGAAUGUUCCUGUUAGAAGGGAACCGGCCUACAACAAAUUGGCCAUCUGUGGGUAAAGUUGAGAUACAUGAUUUGCAGAUCAGAUAUAGGCCUGAUGCACCACUUGUUCUUCGGGGGAUCAAUUGCACAUUUGAGGGAGGGCACAAAAUAGGUAUUGUUGGCAAAACUGGCAGUGGGAAGAUUAUAGUAGAUGGAAUUGACAAAUGUCAUUGUGAGUUAGCAAAUAAUAAAAUGUUGUUGUGAGUUAGUUGUACUUGUAUUACUUGCAUGUAGUUCCCCAAAUAAAAGUG